AUACGUAGGGGGCGAGCGUUGUCCGGAAUGAUUGGGCGUAAAGGGCGCGUAGGCGGCCCGGUAAGUCUGGAGUGAAAGUCCUGUUUUUAAGAUGGGAAUUGCUUUGGAUACUCCAGUGCUAGAGUGCGGAAGAGGUAAGUGGAAUUCCCAGUGUAGCGGUGAAAUGCGUAGAGAUUGGGAGGAACACCAGUGGCGAAGGCGACUUACUGGGCCGUAACUGACGCUGAGGCGCGAAAGCGUGGGGAGCGAACAGGAUUAGAUACCCUGGUAGUCCACGCGGUAAACGAUGAAUGCUAGGUGUUGCGGGUAUCGACCCCUGCAGUGCCGGAGUAAACACAAUAAGCAUUCCGCCUGGGGAGUACGGCCGCAAGGUUGAAACUCAAAUGAAUUGACGGGG
rnacentral:rRNA from 1 species